rnacentral:rRNA from 1 species
UGGUGGGGUAAGGGCCUUACCAGGGCGACGAUGGGUAAGCUGGUCUGAGAGGAUGAUCAGCCACACUGGGACUGCGACACGGCCCAGACUCCUACGGGAGGCAGCAGUGGGGAAUUUUGCGCAAUGGGCGCAAGCCUGACGCAGCAACGCCGCGUGCAUGACGACGCCUUUCGAGGUGUAAAGUGCUGUCGACCGGGACGAACGGGCGAUGGUGACCAGCUUUCGCGCAUGACGGUACCGGUGGAGGAAGCCCCGGCUAACUCCGUGCCAGCAGCCGCGGUAAGACGGAGGGGGCGAGCGUUGUUCGGAAUUACUGGGCGUAAAGCGCGCGUAGGCGGUGCAGCAAGUGGUGCGUGAAAGCCCUCUGCUUAACCGGGGACGGGCGUGCCAAACUGUUGGACUGGAGUGCCGGAAGGGGACGGCGGAAUUCCUGGGUGGAGCGGUGAAAUGCGUAGAAGAUCAGGAGGAACGUUCGGUGGCAAAGGCGGGCUCCUGGACGGAACACUGGCGCUGAGGUGCGACAGCUUGGGGGAGCGAACGGGGAUUAGAUACCCCGGUAGUCCACGCCGUAAACGAUUGGGUACUAGGUGUGGGGCUUGUGAUGAGGCCCGUGCCGGAGCUAACGCAGUAAGUACCCCGCCUGGGGAGUACGGUCGGCAAGGCUGAAACUCAAAGGAAUUGGCGGGGGCCCGCACAAGCGGUGGAGCAUGUGGUNUAAUUCGACGCAACGCGCAGAACCUUACCCAGGUUUGACAUGCACCGGCACAGCGAGGAGAGUCGCUGGCCCGUUUCGGGACGGUGCACAGGUGCUUGCGUGGCUGUCGUCAGCUCGUGUCGUGAGAUGUUGGGUUAAGUCCCGCAACGAGCGCA